GGCUAAAGCAGAGACAUUUAAGUCUCGCAUACCUGUUGUAUUUCCAAAGAAAAACGCUAGAGCUCACAACCACUGCUGUGUUUCUGAGUUCAGCUAACUAGUAAUGUCUUCAGCAUGGAAAGCACAAGCUCGUGUAAGCAUUGGCUUUCUCCUGAAUGUGCAGCUCUUUGGAAACUUCCAACGACCUAAUUACAGAUGUAUCUAGAUGCAUCUCUUUUGGAUUCAUUCAUAUGCUGUCUUUCUGUCAGCUCCCACCCGAUUCUUGUGGUGGAUUCAACUCUCUGGUUUGGUCAGUGGUGUUUCAGUCCUGGCUUAGAUCUUUGCGUUUUGCAGAAAGUUCUGUGGAGACCCACAGAGGCUUUCAAAUCUGAGACGAGCAGCCUGCUCGUCAUUUGAAACAAAACAAUGCCUUUUUUUAGCUUUGAUUUAAUCUCUAGGCAUUCUGCAAAUGUCCUUAGAAUCUACCAGACUAAGCUAAUGUAAAUUUAUGAAUAAUAUCCUCAAGAUGCAAGUAAAAUUUGCUUAUGUCUUUAAGCGGUUAGACUCUUUUAAAAACUGCAGCCUGUUAGUAUGCCCCAGGCUGUGCUUCCCUCGACCCAGCAUUCACUUUAGAACAUUAAUUUAAUUGUGUUAAAUUUCCUAGAGGUGUUAAUUGAAGAUGUUGGAAGUAAAGGUAUGAAACCUGGUUCAUAGUCACAAAUGUUUUAUUUCAUCUCCAGAUAGAUUAUUUUUAAGUAAUGUGUAAUUUGGUUUUCAUUUCCUUUCCAUUUUAUUUAAAAGGAAAAGCUUUCUGCAUUGUUACGUGCUGUUGCAUACUUAAUCUGUGCAUUAAGAAUAGCAAAAGUUAGUCUUACAGUAUAGAAGGCUUGCAUGCUACUUGGAAAGUUUAAUCCAUCACCCUGUGUUUAUUUGUCAGCUGUUUAGAUUUCAUUCACUUUGAGUCACAAUCUUUUCUCUCCAACUUGUGUAUGAAGUAUGAAAUAAGUUCAAGAUGUGUUUGUAAGUGUGUGUAUGCAUAUCUCAACUUCUACCCUGCCAGUCAAAGAUUGCCUUAUUUCUUUCUUGGUUUUCCUGAAGAACGUGACUGCAAAUCAAGAUGCUCGGGGUGGGAAAAGUAUCCGUAACCCCCCUAACUGUAUUUGGAAAUCUCAGGUUUGAUACGUGCCAUACAGACAGGUCAGAUACGGAGAGCACAUUCCAUUGUUUUGAAUAAUGUCAUCUUGAAUAUUGCUUAUGGAAAAUGGCUCUGCCUUUUCACACUUCUCCCUCCUGCUUUCCCUUGAUAUGUAUAGAUACAGAUAUGCUGUAAAUGUUAUGCUGAUGGGAGGCUGCUAAUGUGGGUGACCAGUUAGAGCAUUUAUUUGCAAAUAAAACUGGCCCUUGUCUUUUUCCAAAUUAGGGUGUUAUUUUGUUAGGCACAGUAUUUAUUUGUAUGACAUUUCAGCCUUAUGAGUUUCUUUUUAGUCCUUUAUCAUUAUUACCAAUAUUUUUUUAAUUAUUAUCAAAUUCACUGCAUGCCAAUAAUUUUUACGCCUAUGGAAACUGAUAGAAUACCAUAAAUAUUACUCAAGGUUGCUCCUUUCUCCCAUCAUGCAUGGGCUGAUCCAUAGCUCUGGUACCAACAAGUUUCCACGGAUGGUUUCUGAUUGAGUUUCAAAUUGAAAGGAAGAUCUGCUCAGGCUCACAGUUCUGCCUGACCACAACACCCCGUCACCCUGUGGGAAGUGCCGCUCAAAAGGAACGGUGUCAACAGAAAACUCUCCUCUUCUGGCUGAUGAAAGCUGCAGCCAAGUCAGUGCAUAUAGCUUCAGAACACCGCAGGCUCCAGUACUCUGCGAACUCCCAGUUGCUUUUCCCUGUAAUCAGCCAGAAAAAGGUUUUGAAAGGCUCGGGAAUGAAUUGCAGAGUAUGGCUGGACCCAUCUGCCCCAAAACCAUGCGGCUGACACAGGAUGAGAUAAAGGAGGGAUCCUGCCAUCAAAACGGACUUGUUCGGGCAGUACAGCUGACAGGACUUGCAGAAACCAAAAUGGCCAGAUGUCACUUCAACAAGAACCUGCAGUGUCUGGAAGCCCUUUCUGGAAGGACUGAGAACUGUGACAAGAAAGAUAGAUCUGGGGACAUCUACAAAAUUCUCAGGCCAGAUGGGAAGGCUGGAUACAGACCUCCAAGACUGAAUUGACAAGGUCACUGUCUCGUCCAGCAAUCUGACUGCCAUGACCCAGAAAGCUUACCAGGAGAUAGCAGAAAGCAGGAAAGUUUUGGCCAGCCUGGAACUUGCUGGUGCAGAUGAAGAUAUAAGCUAAAAUAUCAAUUUUGGAAUGAAAUCAAAGAAUCUUAGGUCACAUUUGAAGUCUGAGGGUGACAAAAUGAUUGUCAGUCCAUGAUCUCUGUAAGAAGAGAAAUCAGGAGAAAACAGUACUUGUCAUUUGAAAUUUACUGAUGCUCAGGAUAUUUCAGAUCAGCUCAAAAAAUACCAAACCCUCUACUUCUGAGCUAUGGGCUGAAAAGAUGGACAGAAACUGGAGCUCCUAGCAGCCAAAUCCUGUAACUCAAGUACUGUUUAUAAAAUGAAUGAUGAAAAGGGGUGAUCCCGAUCUGAUCCCUGGCCUUACUGGAUGUACAAUUAGGAAAAGUGAUAAUCUUGGUUUGUAAAACAAGGAAAUUUGGCAGCUAUGGAAAAAUUAAAGGAAGCAGUUCAGUUAAAUAUUAGACUUAUGAAAAAAUUGGCCAUAAAAGCUGUUCUGAGGCUGGCCAGGUCAGAGCCUCAGAAACAUUAGAGAAGGUUCUUCAAUCACUUCAGGAAAUGUGAAGACAUGAAGCUGAAGGUGCUGAGCUCCAAAGGAAUGAGGAGAAAGCUUAUAGCUUUUCUCUAGGUUUGGUCAGUCUAUUUUCUGAAUGUAUGUUAAGAUCUGUGAAAUGAAUGGAAUAAAGUUCCCUUUCUCAAACUGAAGUUAUUGGACUAGGUGGACUGAAAAAGAAUAAAUUGGUCUCAAGCAGGGAGAAUGACUACUGGCAAACAUGAAAUAUCCAAAAAGUGGGAAAACUGAUAUUGAAAAUUCAUCCACUUCUGAGCAAGAAAGUAACUAAAAUCAUGGGUCUGGCUGCUUCCAUCGUCUGUUCGUUAUUGCUUGCUGCUGCAGAACCCUCAAGAACUGAAAACAGGCAAUUUAGAUAAAGUAUAAUCUUGACAGAUUUUUGCUGAUCCAUACCACACGUUCGUCGGGACUAAUAAGACAGAUAAGUAAAGGACUUUGUUAUUUAAUGCCAACUCUGGUAAAGCUGUUCUUCGGCACAAGUGGUGAGGUGGUACAGUCUUGGUGUUCAAGUGAUGGGAGAGAGCUACCUGGUUACAGAUUCUGGCCCCACUGAAGACAGUGGGGGUUCUGCCAUUUGACUUCCGCAAAGCGAGGGCUUCACCACACGUUUAAAAGAAUUAUUUCACUGGGACCCUUGUCAGAAUGCUGGUAAACGCAUCAUUUUUAAAUCUACCUUCCUUCUCACAUUUGAAUGUUUGUUUGCCUUACAUGCGCUUCAGAGUAACUUGGUAUAUAAACUUCUCAUCGAUUUCAUUUUUAUUUCAAGUUAAUUUUGAAUCCGUUCAUUUUUUGUAUUUCUUGUGCAUUUAGAGACACCCCCCCAUGGCAAUGUCUGGGCUAAAAACAUGGUAGGGGAGUGUUCGCAUAUUUUGUAUUGCUGGGAUUUAAGCUGAAUUAAAGAAAGACAGAAAUGAAAACAUUUGCAUUUGUUUAUGUAAUUAAAAAAAGUCACAUAAAAUUGGGCCCAAGCUAGCGAGCAUAUCCCUUUAAUGAACACAAACCUUCACCUUUUUUUGCAAGCACACCGUAAAUGGAGAGGCAUACAUGUCAUAUCUGCCGUAUCAAUGUCAUUUUAGAGUAUGUAAAAAACCACUCUAUUUGUCUUAGGAAAUAUCGAAAACUUUUAUAGGGAAUUUGGAAAAUAUUUUUUUGGCUAGCAUGAAAGGUAAAAUCCUGCAGCACAAAGUACAGACAUGGGCACAGAGACUGAACAGACGGGCUGCUGUAAAACAACCAUUUAAUAAGGCAUUAAAAUGCCAUCGACUUGGACACAUAAAAAAAAAGCUAUGAAAACAAAUGCCUUUCAAAUAAUUAGGAUCUUAUGCUUGAGACCAGUGUUGAUCUCUAUGCAGAGAUUUUCCUGCUGAAAUCAGACCAGUCUAAGUCUGAUCGUCUAAGGAAGGAAUUAGCAGCGUAUAAAUCGGCUGCUGCUUGAGAUUUUUCUGUUUCUGCCAUACAUAACCAUUCAUAUAAAUGAUCACUUCAGCCUUUCUAUCUCCUUUCUGUUUCCUAAAGUAUUUUGGAAUACGUUUGAUUUAGGAUGCCAGAAUAAUUUUUUAAUUGAAUCUCAGAUUUUUAUCAUGAGCAUGUGAAAUGGUUGAGUUACUAGCUUUUAGCCAUGCUGUGUGAGUGAACCUGAGCCAGGCUAACAGAUGCAGCCAGAAAUAGCAGCAGAACCCAUUUCUGUGCCUGAAAAUGUAGUGUGACUUUGCUUUCAUUUGAAGGAAUGUACUUGUAUUGAUUUUAAUAUUUAACAAUAGUUUGUAGUGGUAGCUGGUGUGUACAAUAUAUCAAACCGUUGUAUAAAUUUAUCCUUUAAUAAAAAAAAGUUAUUCAAGAACAAACUUAUCACCUAUAAUGUGUACAAAUACAAAAGUAAUUAUGAUAAUUGACCUUUUAUGUCUGUGUGUUUAAGCCUGGCUCACAAAUAUAAUGAUAUUCCUCAUUAGCACAGCUCAGAAAAGCUACAGUAUUCAAAAAGAACUUCUUUAGAAGGAUGUGCAUCUGUGAGAACGUAAUCAACGCGAUAAAACAAAACAAUAGAGCUGGUGUUGAAGAGAUGAGCAUCAGAUUCUCAACUUUAAGUUGGAAUUUAAUAGAUUUUAUUGCAAAAGUAGUGUUAAAUGAAUAUUGUUUUCCUUAUAUACUACAAUUACUGUUUUGAUCUUCAUUUUGCUGAGUACUAACAUCAGUAAUCUUGGAGAAACUAAUGUUUGUCCCUUCUGUAUUUCACGUUGUUUCCUGUUUUGUCAUUAGCCAGCUGUUAGCCCCUAAGGCACGUAUUUUUAAACUUCUAGUCCAGCACGUGUCUUCCUUUCAGGUCUCUCAUUUCAGAUACUCUUCGAUUUUGUGGUUUUCACAUGUAGAACUGGGUCCCAUGGUGAGAGCCCAUCUCCCAAACCAUCAGAAUGGGAAAUCUUUCUAUUGAUGCUGUGAUUUCAUCUGCUAAUCAGUUUUAUAUGACUUUCUGCUAGCCUAGUUUUUCAAGGUGUGAAAAUU